ensembl:lncRNA uncharacterized LOC113142419
CUCCAUUCUCUACCCUUAAAUCACUUAAGCACAAAGGCAGAAGGCAUUGCAAAGUGCAAUGGUUCUUAGCGUCAUGGGUGAAAUGUUUUUACAACAAAAAUGAGUGAAAGAUUAGAGCUUAGUGGACAUGUCUGCUGUCAACACAACAGGAGCUCCAGAGCCUCAGUGGGUAAACAGACCUUCCAGAAAUCAGGAUUUCCAGCGUCCCCUGAGACUUGUGGCUCGGCACAGACAUCCCAUCAGAUCGAGCACCUGCCUGCCUGACGGCUCCCGCUCUGCACAGCACACACACAGGAGACCCAUUUAUGUGUCUUUUGUCAGCAAGUCCAUCCUGUGGGAUAGAGGACUCUACCAUCAAACUACUCAUGUACAUCCAACUCAUCGUCCCUCCUUGUGUCCACGGUUCUUGUCUCACAUGAAAGCUCGUCCUGAAGACUUCAGACCUCCUUGUUUCCCGAGCUCCAAGUCGGGACCGUGGCCUCCAUCUCAGCAGAAAAUACAGAAUACACACAUCCUUGCUGCCCCAAAGACCCACACUCUGGAGGGAUUCGUCCAGUUCAACCCAGACAGAAGACAAUGUGGUGUGCAGAAAGGCCUGAUCGCAGGAAGGCGCUGUGCUGCUUUUGUUCCCUGUCAUCCACUUCCAGCAACACCGCCAUCAUCCACCGUGAAUUCACCGCCAUCAUCCACCGUGAAUUCACCGCCUCCCCACCAAAACACCCUUCAUCCCGACUCUGGAGGACAACAAAGUCGACCGUGCACUGUGGGAGCAUCUUCCUACAGCCCUCAUCCAGCCUCAGAGGAAACACAUGAGUUCCAGAAGGAGGAGAGAGCGCCCCCACUUGAUGUGUUGUCCAUCACACAAUCUACAGAGCCGGGCUCCAAACUGGAUCUUAGGCCUUCUGGAACAGGGGACUCAGAGUCACUGUCCUCUACGGUGUCAUACAGGUCUCUCUCGGAUUUAAGUCGUCCAUGUUCGAGCCUCUUCAGCCGGAGCACUGACCUCGCCAGUGGCAGGAGCAGUUCCCUGCCGGAUAUAGACUCAGAUGCAGAGAGCAGCGCUUGUUUCUCCCCCUUAUCUCCUUCCCCAGUGAUGGAGUUAGCUCAGGCUUCUCCUGCAUCAGGAUCAAAUCCUCAUCAAUCCACCACAAAAACCACCAACCCUCUGUUCCUCAAGCCACUCUGUGGUCAAACCAAACCCCUCUCUCCUCGCCCACCUUCAAGUAUCCCUCCACAUUCAGAUAAACCUAUGAGCAGUAAUGAAAGCACCAAAGCAGCAGAGAAUGACCACCAAGAUUCAUCCAUCGAUCCUGGUCUCAACCCGCCCCCGGACUCUGAUCAUGGCCUUGUUACACUGACUUUCCCCUCCACUACCUGGUCUUCUUGUCCAAGUUCUCAGAGGACCACGCCCCGAUCGAGGUCAGGAGUGAAGCUAACCCGUUCUCUAGUGAGUCGGCUGGAGUCUCAUCGCUGGCCUGUCCUGCCUCCCAUCUCCCCUGUCAGAGGACACUCUGGCACUGCAGCAUCGCACUCCUCUGAGCUCAGCUGCAGUCAGUCUCAUGUAUUUGAUGAACUGGAGGCCAUCGCCCCUCGAUCGGCUUCCGGUUUGUCUCUGAACCAGGCAUCAGACUCAUCAGCCUGCUCUUUACCUGACACAGAGCUUUCUCCCGGCCUGGCAGCACUGACAGUGGGCUGUGACUCAGGGAAUCUGGGCUCCCUGUCCCGGGUCCAGCUGCUCCUCCUGGACCGACCAGAGCCAGAGACCCUGCUGAGUGCAUAUGGUCUUGAGGAAGAGUUCACUUUGGUGCAGGACUGGAGCGAUCUGAGGGUGCAGUACGAUCCAGGACUGACUUCAUCAGGUGUUCUGAGGCCUCUCACAGCUGGCAGCAUCUCUGAAAGGUGUGACUCCGCAGGGAAAGUCCAGGAAAACAAUUCGGAUCGAUCUGAAGGAGGCUCUUGGUCACCGUCGUCAUGGAUCAUAGACCCAAGUCCAUCAUGCAACAUGUUCAGAGCCUCAUGUUCUCCCUGCCCAUCCAGUCACAGUUCCAGGACAGACGAAGGGGGCUCCUCUGAGGACGAGUCCAGUCAUCCAGGAUGGGGGGACCAGGAUGAGUCCUUAGCUGGAGGAAGGAAACCUGAGAUUCUUGAACAUAGAAAUGAAGAGAAGGACACAAGGAUGGAGGAGAGGAAAACAAAGGUGCUUCACAUGCUCUCCAAGUUGCAGGAAGAUACACCUCGGAAGAGCAACAGCUACAAACGCUGCUCCAACUUUGAGGAUUUUGAUUUUUUGGCAAAGUAUUGCAUUUUCAGUCAGGAGAAGCUGGCUGAGUACAAAAGAGCUUUUGAAGCAGAGGACAGUGAUGGUGACGGCUACAUUUCCUGCCUUCAGGUUCUGCUGGCUCUUAAAAACAUCAUCCCUCCAGAGCUGCUGUCCGAUGAAGAGGAGAUCUAUGUUUACAGGAUCUUGGAGAUGGUGGACUUCAGAGUGACAGAUGGACUCGUGGACCUGAGGCUCUUCGCUGUGACUGCUAGUCUGGCACAGAAAAUAGCCACUAUGGAUGAAUUCAUGCGAUCGCUAAUCACCAACAUGGACUUUCGCUCUCUAGAAGUGAGGCUCUUCAAAGCGAAGCAACUGUUCCUGUUCCUCCUGGAGGAGCAGCAAGGAGAUGCAGGAGCUCAGCAAGGCUUCAUCAGUGCUGAGCAGCUGCUUCUGGAGCUAAAGGCCGGGGGGAUCCAUCUGGAACAGGAAGCGGCCAUCAGGCUGGAGCUGCAGCACAUUCCCCCUCUGGACCUGCUGGACUUCCUGGCCUACCUGCCGCUCUUCAUGCUCAUUCACAAGUCGGUCAUCUCCAACCCGCUCGAUGACUCCUGCAACCUGUGACCCCAGUCACUGCACUGUCUCCCCCGUGAGGUUCAGGUAUCACCAUUACUGAUUAUUACAUGACAAACAGAAAAGGCUGGCUCAAAGGGCAUCAGUGAGGCCCUGUUACUAUAUUACUAUGAUCUAUAAGGCCUAGUCACACAACGUUUAAAACUGUCAUGUUUUGCAGGUUUUUAAAUUCAUUUCAGUGGGAUCACUCCAUUAAUAAUUUACAGAAAGUAAUGCCAUGUUCAGAUUGUAUCGUUUAAACUGUUCAUGUCAACAUCUAACCCAUAAUUCUGGAGAUAUAAGGAGAAAAAAACUAGAACAUGUCAACAAGCUGGUGAGAAAAUAACAAUAUAAAAACAUGAUUUACCAAACAAUAAGUGAUGAGCUCCACUGUAAAUUAAAAAGGUUUCAUUAAAAAGUAUAGCAGUGAAACAAAGUAGAGCAGUAGCUUUACUAGACUUUUAACAAUAGCACAAAGCUGUUUGACAGCUGAAUAAUGCUCAGUGAUCAUAUAGAUGCGUCCCUGUGGGUAUUAAUCAGGACUACUCUGGAACUAUGAUGGAAAUUCCAGAUGUGUUAAGAAAAUCCUGCAAGAGAAGUUUCUGUUUGGUACAUGGAACAAUUCAUGCAGAUGUAAAGUGCUGUCUGUGGUCCUGAAAUGCUCUGCAGCUGUGGAUGUGGUUCUAAAACAUCUUGCAGUAUUUACUGAGCAACACUGCAGAGCCACUUCACUGGCUGAAUUAGUUAAAAACGCCUUCUCCAACACACCCCUGACACACUGCUUCAGGGGUGUGGUUCAUGUUUAUUUACUCAUGCAACAACUGCUUAUUGUUCUGGAGUAGAAAAUAUUUGAGCAGGUAGCAUCACAGACCUUUGUCCUCUUUCAUCCAGUAUAAUCAACGCUGAUGAAUGAUAUUCAAUAAGAUACUCAACUAAUAUAGUUUGAGCCAUUGUUUUGGCUCAGCUUUGCCAAUUAGACAUGGCCAUGCUCUCCUGCGGUUCAAACACGCUUGACAGAGCACCACAGAGGAAAAAACAUAAUGAGCUCUGACAGGCAGCAAACUAGGAUUGUUACAUCAGGGACGUCCUGUACGCAGCAUAUGUCGUCAUUGUUUCACAGCCUGGUGUUAAACCUGCUUUUUAAUGAAGUUAUAAAGUUCUGCUGUUGAUAAACAGAUGUUGAACUUGUCAAAUAAAGAUUAUCAUCAGUGUCUGUUCUCUCCUACUUCUGCAGUUUGUUUUAUUUGCAAUGUCUUAAGGGAUUCUGGUUUGACACCGCUUUUAAAACUAGUCAUAUUUAACUAUUGGUAACAUCUUGUCACCUAGUCCAUGUCCUAAACUCAAACAGGACAUCACUGCUGCAGUGUUACAGAACUGAGGAGACUAUUAUGACCAAAGCUAAAGUCUCAGUUACAGCAUUUCUUUUUCCCACUUUCUUGUGAGUCAGUGAAGCUGCAGGACUGGACCCUGUGUCCCCUGUCUCAGGCCCCCUGGUGGCCCACGAAACCUCCUUUGAGAAUAACUCACAUUGCGACUCCACAUAUAACACAAUGAGCCUUUACUUUACCACGAGAUUUUGCCGUUUGUCUCGCUGUGACUCAGAUUACCUUUUUUUCUUUUCCACCCACCAAUCAGUGACUUUAUGAUGAUGACUAUCGCUGCUGUACAAAACACAAACAAAACCAACCAAACUUAAUACACCUGAGCCACACGCAGAGUUUUUUUUCCUUCCCAGGUGGUGAUUGUUGUGUUUUCAGCAGCAUGCUGCUGUCAGGAGGCACACGCCAUCAGCCAGUUCAGCUCCAUGUCUCCACUCGACCACCACACAAACCCCAUUCACUCAUUAAACCAGACACGCGUCCGGCUGCAGCCUCCGCCCUACCUGUCAAACUUAGUUUCGCAGAAACACAAG